AUCUGUCUGAACCUCUGUAUGUGUAUCUGUCUGUGUGUUAGUCUUUAUAUCUGUAUGUGUGUGUAUAAGUGUGUCUGUACAUCUGUAUGUGUGUCAGUCUGUGUAUCUGACUGCACGCUUGUAUGUGUCAGUAUGUGAAUCUGUGCCAGGGUUUGUAUAUGUGUAUCUGCAUGUGUGUGUGUGUCUAUCAGUGUGUCUGUGCAAAUGUAUGUGUGCCAAUGUUUACAUCUGUGUGUCUGUGUAUCGGCAUGUGUGUGUCUGUCUAUACAUCUGUAUGCGUGUCAGUGUGUAUCGUUCUCU